rnacentral:rRNA from 1 species
UACGUAGGGUGCAAGCGUUGUCCGGAAUUAUUGGGCGUAAAGAGCUCGUAGGCGGUUUGUCGCGUCUGCUGUGAAAACCCGAGGCUCAACCUCGGGCCUGCAGUGGGUACGGGCAGACUAGAGUGCGGUAGGGGAGAUUGGAAUUCCUGGUGUAGCGGUGGAAUGCGCAGAUAUCAGGAGGAACACCAAUGGCGAAGGCAGAUCUCUGGGCCGUAACUGACGCUGAGGCACGAAAGCGUGGGGAGCAAACAGG